rnacentral:rRNA from 1 species
AUGGGGUGCAGCAGGCGCGAAACCUCCUCAAUGCACUUACGUGCGAAGGGGCUACCUCGAGUGCCACCUGAUGAAGGUGGCUUUUCCUAGGUCUAAAAAGCCUUGGGAAUAAGAGGGGGGCAAGACUGGUGUCAGCCGCCGCGGUAACACCAGCCCCUCGAGUGGUGGGGAUGAUUAUUGGGCCUAAAGCGUCCGUAGCCUGCCGUGUAAGUUUCCCGUUAAAUCCAGCGUCUUAAGCGUUGGACCGCGGGAAAUACUGUACGGCUAGAGAGUGGGAGAGGUCAGCGGUAUUCUGGGGGUAGGGGCGAAAUCCUUUGAUCCCCGGAGGACCACCAGUGGCGAAGGCUGCUGUCUAGAACACGUCUGACGGUCAGGGACGAAAGCUGGGGUAGCGAACCGGAUUAGAUACCCGGGUAGUCCCAGCCGUAAACGAUGCAUGCUAGGUGUUGGGUUGGCCACGAGCCACCCCAGUGCCGCAGGGAAGCCGUUAAGCAUGCCGCCUGGGAAGUACGAUCGCAAGGUUGAAACUUAAAGGAAUUGGCGGGGGAGCAC